rnacentral:rRNA from 1 species
UACGUAGGGUGCGAGCGUUGUCCGGAAUUAUUGGGCGUAAAGGGCUCGUAGGCGGUUUGUCGCGUCGGGAGUGAAAACUCAGGGCUUAACCCUGAGCCUGCUUUCGAUACGGGCAGACUAGAGGUAUGCAGGGGAGAACGGAAUUCCUGGUGUAGCGGUGAAAUGCGCAGAUAUCAGGAGGAACACCGGUGGCGAAGGCGGUUCUCUGGGCAUGACCUGACGCUGAGGAGCGAAAGCGUGGGGAGCGAACAGG